rnacentral:rRNA from 1 species
AUGGCUGCAGGUGCGAGACGGAGGUGGAGGCCCGACGAGGUCGGCGGCUUAGGCCUCCAUGGUGGUAGCGAAGGUCCUCCGAUGGACUUGGGCGACGACGCGGUCGGAAGCAGCAGAGGAAGGGGCGGCCCUGGCCACGAGGUGCAGCGGCGGGAGCUUCGAGCUCGGCCGGCUGCGGCCAUGGAGGACGGCGGCGCUGAGGCGGGGUAG